rnacentral:rRNA from 1 species
UACGUAGGGGGCAAGCGUUGUCCGGAUUUAUUGGGCGUAAAGAGCGUGUAGGCGGCUAGAUAGGUCCGUUGUGAAAACUCGAGGCUCAACCUCGAGACGUCGAUGGAAACCAUCUGGCUAGAGUCCGGAAGAGGAGAGUGGAAUUCCUGGUGUAGCGGUGAAAUGCGCAGAUAUCAGGAAGAACACCUAUGGCGAAGGCAGCACUCUGGGACGGUACUGACGCUGAGACGCGAAAGCGUGGGGAGCGAACAGG